AGUGAACGCUGGCGGUAGGCCUAACACAUGCAAGUCGAACGGCAGCACAGUAAGAGCUUGCUCUUACGGGUGGCGAGUGGCGGACGGGUGAGGAAUACAUCGGAAUCUACUUUUUCGUGGGGGAUAACGUAGGGAAACUUACGCUAAUACCGCAUACGACCUACGGGUGAAAGCAGGGGAUCUUCGGACCUUGCGCGAAUGAAUGAGCCGAUGUCGGAUUAGCUAGUUGGCGGGGUAAAGGCCCACCAAGGCGACGAUCCGUAGCUGGUCUGAGAGGAUGAUCAGCCACACUGGAACUGAGACACGGUCCAGACUCCUACGGGAGGCAGCAGUGGGGAAUAUUGGACAAUGGGCGCAAGCCUGGUCCAGCCAUACCGCGUGGGUGAAGAAGGCCUUCGGGUUGUAAAGCCCUUUUGUUGGGAAAGAAAAGCAGCAGGUUAAUACCCCGCUGUUCUGACGGUACCCAAAGAAUAAGCACCGGCUAACUUCGUG
rnacentral:rRNA from 1 species